GACAGAGGGUGCAAACGUUGUUCGGAAUUACUGGGCGUAAAGCGCGCGCAGGCGGUUUUUCAAGUCAGUGGUGAAAGCCCGGAGCUCAACUCCGGAACUGCCAUUGAAACUGUAAAACUUGAGGACGAGAGAGGUGAGUGGAAUUCCCAGUGUAGAGGUGAAAUUCGUAGAUAUUGGGAAGAACACCGGUGGCGAAGGCGGCUCACUGGCUCGUAUCUGACGCUCAGGCGCGACAGCGUGGGGAUCAAACAGG
rnacentral:rRNA from 1 species